rnacentral:rRNA from 1 species
ACUGCUCAGUAACACGUGCAUAACCUGCCCUUGGGUCUGGCAUAACCCCGGGAAACUGGGGAUAAUUCCGGAUAACGCAUAUAUGCUGGAAUGCUUUAUGYGUAAAAUGGAUUCGUCCGCCCAAGGAUGGGUCUGCGGCCUAUCAGGUAGUAGUGGGUGUAAUGUACCUACUAGCCUACAACGGGAACGGGUUGUGAGAGCAAGAGCCCGGAGAUGGAUUCUGAGACAUGAAUCCAGGCCCUACGGGUUGCAGCAGGCGCGAAAACUUUACAAUGCGGGAAACCGUGAUAAGGGGACACCGACUGCUAGCAUCAUAUGCUGGCUGUCCAGGUGUGUAAACUACACCUGUUAGCAAGCGCCGGGCAAGACCGUGCCAAUGGCCGCGGUAACACCGGCUGCCCGAGUGGUGAUCGUGAUUAUUGGGUCUAAAGGGUCAGUAGCCGGUUUGGUCAGUCCUCCGGGAAAUCUGAUUCCUCAACUAUUAGGCUUUCGGGGGAUACUGCCAGACUUGGAACCGGGAGAGGUAAGAGGUACUACAGGGGUAGGAGUGAAAUCUUGUAAUCCCUGUGGGACCACCUGUGGCGAAGGCGUCUUACCAGAACGGGUUCGACGGUGAGGGACGAAAGCUGGGGGCACGAACCGGAUUAGAUACCCGGGUAGUCCCAGCCGUAAACGAUGCUCGCUAGGUGUCAGGCAUGGCGCGACCGUGUCUGUGCCGCAGGGAAGCCGUGAAGCGAGCCACCUGGGAAGUACGGCCGCAAGGCUGAAACUUAAAGGAAUUGGCGGGGGAGCAC